GGAUGGGUGGCCGAGUGGUUGAAGGCACCAGUCUUGAGUACUGGCAAAGAUUCUAAGUCUUUCGUGGGUUCGAAUCCUACCUCAUCCA